UUUAGAGGAAGGAGAAGUCCUCGCAAGGUUUCCGUAGGUGAACCUGCGGAAGGAUCAUUG
rnacentral:rRNA from 1 species